CAGAGGCAGGUGAUAGAAGCCGAGGGGGAGAGGCCAGGCCCUCCCCCCGGCUCCAGCACAAGGUCCCCCGCGGGCCCUGCGCGCCACCCCGCGCAUCCACUCGCGCCCAGGUCACUGACGCGGCCACCCAGCAGCGGCUCCGAGCUCAUGGGCCGCACUGUCCACGGUCGCCAGAAAACCUGAUGUGAAAUGGAGAAGGCACUCACUCACCUCGGUCAAUGUCACACUUCCACGGGGCUCUUGUCACAGAGGGAAGCUUCUGGAACACGCAGAGCAGUUAGUGCUAGAUGGAGACGAUGCCUGCCAUCGUCCGCUGUGAAAAUCCCUCCGUGUCCGCACUGCCCGCGGCCGGCCUUCUGCGCUGAGACCGACCCGAUAUUAGACUGUGAAAUCUGAUGCCAGCGAAAGGGAGAGUGUUGAUAAUACCAACUCCCACUCUCCGAGAGCCUGCGGUUCCAUGCACUGUGCGUGGCAGUGAGUGCUCCAACCUUACAAGACAGGGGGCAUCGUGCCCAUUCACAGAGGAAGCGGUUGGCAUGCAGGAGGCUGGCGGUUUACCCAGAUCACUCAGCACCUAGGUCACGGAGCUGGAGUGAAACGUGCAUCUGAUUCCGAAGCGCUCGUUCACCCUGGUCCACUGUGCUGCAGGAGGUCUCAAACAGGACAUGCUGAGCUCUGGAAAAUGGGAAUAAACAGGGAAAGAACAAUGUUUGACAGAAGCAAAGAAAAUGAUACGGUAAGACAGUGCAGGGGGUUUGCAAUUCAGGACUUGGAUGGAAUGGACACACAUCACCCUGUCCCCCCUCUAAGUACAGGCAGAAUCCCUGCACGUGAUAUGAAACAAACACGCAAAGACUCUGAAAAGUGAAGAGAACAGGCAGACCUGCCAGGUGUGGGAGUGCGUUCCUAGACCCUGAACUGGAUACAGGGAACCAGCAGCCCCGGAACCCCAGUGGGCACAGACCAGAGGUCCCAAGAAGAGUCUGCUCUCUCUGGCCAGAGGGGCGGCCUAGCAGGACAGAGAAUUUUGACUCAAUUACUGCCUUACACCUUCCAAACUCCAUGGAGAAAUCCACGACCAUCACUCCCACCCCCGACCCCAGCAAAGGCUGAGGGGGGCCCUAGGGCCAGAACGUUUACUACCAUCUAGCGGGAAGAAGGCUGACACCAGCACAGCCAGGUCAUCGGAGAGGCCCAGAGCAAGGCUGGGUACCACCCUUGCACCCCUUCCUCAGGGAAACUGGUCGGCCCCUGACCUGGCAGCAAGAACAGCGCCCCUCGCCCUGUUAGUGUGGUAUCAUGGGAAGCCUUCCGAAGCAGAAGUUGUCAUCACAGAAUGAUCCAAAUAUCCAGGUUACAAUAAAAAGUUUACUCAUCAGACCAAGCACCUGGAGAAUCUCAGCCGGAGCGAGAGGAGAUGCUCAGCAGAUACCAACACCAAGAGGACCCAGAUGUUGGUUAUUUGACAAGGAUUUUAAAGCACCCUCAAAAUAAACUGCUUCAACAAACCAUGACAAACACACUUGAAACAAACAACAACAACAAAAAUAGAAACUCUCAGCAAAGAAAUAAAAGACACGAAGGAGAACCAAAUGGAAAUUUUAUAACUGAAAAAUACAAUCACUGAAGUGAAAACCUCAGUGGAUGCGCUCAGAAGCAGACUGGAGAGGACAGAGGAAAGGACCAGUGAACUUCAGGAUGAACAGCAGAAAUUUCCCCAUCUGAGGAACACAGAGAAAACAGACUGGAAAAAAAAACGUGGGCAGAGCCUCAGGGAGCCGUGCACCUAGAACAAAAGAGCGAACAUCCCGCCAUCAGAGUCCCAGGAGGAGGAGAAAGAAGUGGGCCCAAAAAAGGCAUUCCAAGAAAUGUGGAUGGAAAGUUCCCAAAUGUAGCAAAAGACAAACACCUACAAAUCCAAGAAGCAGAGUGAACCCCCAACAGUAUAAACCCCAAAACUGCAUGCCAGGAACAUCAUACUCCAACUCCAACCCCCUUGCAGGGCUUCCUAUUGCUA